AGAUGUGUUAUCUAAUCGUCACUUCUGUAAUUUCAGGUUCUUGCAGCUCAUCGUUCUGGCAUAAAAAGAGUAAUUUUACCAGAAAGAAACUUAAAGGACUUGGUUGAAGUACCAUCAGCUAUUCUUGCUGGAAUGGAGAUUUUGUUUGCGAAGCGGAUGGAAGAUGUAUUGGAGCAAGCAUUUGAAGGAGGAUGCCCAUUGAGACAGCACUCGAAAUUAUGACAAUUAAAACAUCCAAUUUCAAUGGGCUUCUUGAUCUUUGGAGAGCCUGUUUAUAUCACUAUCGACCCAGACUUUGAGCUUUGCAAGUGUAUAUUAUGCGCAAGAAGUAUUAUGCGCAAGAAGCAGAAGGCUCCCCUAUUCUAUCUCUACGAAAAUAAAAAAGGAUUAGCGUGUUCUGUAUAUAACGCAAGUGUAACUAAGUACUUGCUCUUUGACCGAUCGCCUCAUCUGUGAUUCUAAAUAAAAGAUAAACCAGGUACGUACAAUUGAAGCUGAGCUUGUACUAGAAAAGGUUGCUUAGGGUCAAAUGUUAUAUUGUGUAAAAUGUAUGUAAAAGCUCUCAUUUGUAAAAGUUGAAUGCAAUUAUUGUUAAUAAUUAUGAUUAUGAUGAUGGUGAAGAUGGUUAAUGUUAUUUAUGUUUUUUUUA